rnacentral:sRNA from 1 species
UCCCUAACAGCCGAGUGAAGCUCAUUCUCUGUUCACCUGGCCACAGGAACCCUUGCCCUCGCAGAGGGCCGUGGAUAACCAGACCACCCUCCCCUUUCAAACAGAACAUUUCACCUACUCCACCCUGCAAAAGGGAGAACCGCUCAGCCUCCUGACUCGCUCGCCUGCGCUGGAGCCUGUCUAGGACAGCGCGGCAGCAAGCCGGGCUGCUACUAUCGCUCCCAGAGCCAAUGACAAGACCUAACGGUGUUCCUACCGACGCCCUUGGAACCCUCGCGGCGGCCCAGAGCACAUCCGAUGCACACUCCUGGUUUAACAAUCUCCAGUGCACUGCCUCUGGAAAGCCGGGUCCCGACCGCCAGAGAGGUCCUCUGGACCUGAUUAUUAGUUUCCUGCUCACAGCACGUUUGGUACCUGCUCCACUCAUCUGCUUAACUGCACUUGUUCCGUACGUUGGAGCUCCACUAAUAGCCAACAAACAGUAGCCGCCCUACCAGCUGCCAUUUCUAUAUGCACUGAGUCAGAUUUGGCUCCUGCAGGACUUUCUAUCACCCACCCAAGACCUGCAUGAGAAGCACUGGGUCCCAAGGAAUUCCCAAAGUACCCCAUGGUGACCACUGAGUAGAGGGGUAUAGUGGGAACGCCUGGGAUGAUGAAAUAGCCCGGACACAGUGUGAGACAAGCCCAGGCGUCAGAAGAUUCUUAAGUUGUGGGCUGAAGGAGUCAGAUGUUUUCUUGGAAGAUGAUGACACCUGAGCUAGUUCCUGACCGAUAAUGAAAACCAUUAAUAGAAAGCUGGCUGUGUGUUUUAUCUCAUACACUUUCCCCAACUGUCUUGAAAGCACCAUGUGUCUCCUGUAUACAUAAUGAAACUGAGGUACAACAGAGGUGAGGCUGCUUGCCUAAAGUCACAGAGCUGAGUCCCCUCUUCUAUUGGGUGGUAGGGAUGAGGGUAACUAGAAAGUAAUCCUUAACUUGUUACAGGUUAAUGUUUUACGAGUCACUGAUAAAAGGGAGGAUAAUAAAAUGUGCAAAUAGAUAUGUUAUCAAAUCCAUGGGCUCUGAUAAUUAAUGCUGCCUUUAUGACUUGAGAGCAUUUCCCUUCCUAUCUUAUUUAUGCUAAUAAAAAGUUUUGGUGAUAA